rnacentral:rRNA from 1 species
AGGAUGAACGCUGGCGGCGUGCCUAAGACAUGCAAGUCGAGUGGGUUUAGACCCACGGCGAACGGGUGAGUAAUACCUAGGAACUUUCUUUAAGUGGAGCAUAACCCAUAGAAAUGUGGGACAAUUCUCCAUGUGUCCCGAUGUAAAAAUCGGUAUAAAGUCGCAAGACGCUUAAAGUGAGGCCUGGGCACCAUCAGCUAGUUGGUAAGGUAAUGGCUUACCAAGGCUAUGACGGUUAGGGGUCCCGAGAGGGAUAACCCCCACACUGGAACUGCGACACGGUCCAGACUCCUACGGGAGGCAGCAGUUUGGAAUUUUGGACAAUGGGCGAAAGCCUGAUCCAGCGACGCCGCGUGGACGAUGAAGGCCUUCGGGUCGUAAAGUCCUUUUGCUCGGGAACAAUAUUUUGAGCGUACCGAGAGAAUAAGAGGUUGCUAACUCUGCGCCAGCAGCCGC